rnacentral:lncRNA from 1 species
AUUUUGAUGCCUUUACCAGCAUUAAACAAAAGGACUCCACAUUAACUUGGACAGUAAAAUGGCUCCAUUCUGUAGCUGAUGAGCUUACUAUUUAUGGAUGUCUAAAUAUAUUUUUGUUUCCUUGUAGGAAGAGGAGUCUGUCUAAAUAUCUUAUUUUGUAACCUACAGAAAUUCACAGAAGGAUGUCUUCUAGUAAUAUCUCCUUUGAAUUAUUUCCUUAACUAUGAAGAUGCAAGUAAACAAGCAAUUUUUUUACAGUGGACAGGUCAUAACUUUUAAAUGGCCAACCUGUCUGUCCUUUCAAGAAAAAGCCAGGACUGCUGUGCAUACAUGGAGGACUUUUUUCCUCUCUCCCCUUGCUUUUGCUGCCAACUGCUGCAUCUCAUAUCUGGGAAAGAACAGGUGCAGAGCCAUCUUGGGAUUGCAGUGCAUUGCCAGCAGCUUGCAGGGGUCCUGCGAGGAAUUACAUGUUGCUGCUGAUGGAGGUUUCUUCCUCCUGUUUGCUGGGACAAUCAUGCUGGUGUUUAUGGCCCUCUCAAAAGGGAAGCUGUGGGCCUUGAUCUAGGCCUUGCUGGGAGGAAUCAGGCUAUGUGACUACUGCGUAAUGGGCUAUUUUUACCCCAGGUAAAAUUUUACAAGUUAACUACUUCCUUU